rnacentral:rRNA from 1 species
UACGUAGGGGUCUAGCGUUGUCCGGAAUUAUUGGGCGUAAAGAGCUCGUAGGCGGUUUGUCGCGUCUGCUGUGAAAACUCGGGGCUUAACCCCGGGCCUGCAGUGGGUACGGGCAGACUAGAGUGCGGUAGGGGAGACUGGAAUUCCUGGUGUAGCGGUGAAAUGCGCAGAUAUCGGGAGGAACACCGGUGGCGAAGGCGGUUCUCUGGGCCUUACCUGACGCUGAGGAGCGAAAGCGUGGGGAGCGAACAGG